rnacentral:rRNA from 1 species
ACUACGGGCGGCAGCAGUGAGGAAUAUUGGUCAAUGGGCGCGAGCCUGAACCAGCCAAGUAGCGUGAAGGAUGAAUGCCCUACGGGUUGUAAACUUCUUUUAUAAGGGAAUAAAGUGAGGCACGUGUGCCUUUUUGUAUGUACUUUAUGAAUAAGGAUCGGCUAACUCCGUGCCAGCAGCCGCGGUAAUACGGAGGAUCCGAGCGUUAUCCGGAUUUAUUGGGUUUAAAGGGAGCGUAGAUGGGUUGUUAAGUCAGUGGUGAAAGUUUGCGGCUCAACCGUAAAAUUGCAGGUGAUACUGGCAGUCUUGAGUACAGUUGAGGCAGGCGGAAUUCGUGGUGUAGCGGUGAAAUGCUUAGAUAUCACGAAGAACUCCGAUUGCGAAGGCAGCUUACUAAACUGCCACUGACAUUGAUGCUCGAAAGUGUGGGUAUCAAACAGGAUUAGAUACCCCAGUAGUC